rnacentral:rRNA from 1 species
GACGAACGCUGGCGGCGUGCCUAAUACAUGCAAGUUGAGCGCUGAAGGUUGGUACUUGUACCAACUGGAUGAGCAGCGAACGGGUGAGUAACGCGUGGGGAAUCUGCCUUUGAGCGGGGGACAACAUUUGGAAACGAAUGCUAAUACCGCAUAAAAACUUUAAACACAAGUUUUAAGUUUGAAAGAUGCAAUUGCAUCACUCAAAGAUGAUCCCGCGUUGUAUUAGCUAGUUGGUGAGGUAAAGGCUCACCAAAGCGAUGAUACAUAGCCGACCUGAGAGGGUGAUCGGCCAAAUUGGGACCGGGACCCGGCCCAAACUCCUUCGGGAGGGCGCCGUAGGGAAUCUUCGGCAAAGGACGAAAGUCUGACCGAGCAAAGCCGCGGGAGUGAAGAAGGUUUUCGGGUCGUAAAACUCUGUUGGUAGAGAAGAACGUUGGUGAGAGUGGAAAGCUCAUCAAGUGACGGUAACUACCCAGAAAGGGACGGCUAACUACGUG